UAGUUCUGCCACUAUCAUCUUUCCUUUAAGGAACAGAGCUUUCUUCCUUAGAACUUUACACAGAACACAUUUUGCCUGCAAAUGUGACCUUUUGGAUCAGCUUCAGAUAGGAGAGUUUAACAUGCAGACACCUAAAUGCUAUACCUUACCAUCACUGAUAAUGGGAUCAUCUGAUAAUACUGGAUUCUUAGUUAAUUUUUUAAUUUUUCAAACGAGUCUAGCACUCAAAUAUUUUUUUUUUCUUUAAAAAAGGUUGACAACAUGGCAUUUAUCCAAUGUAGUGUGGUCUUUUUAAGGUCUGCAGUACGAACACAUUUUUUCAUCUCAGUGAGAUCUAUCACUGCAAGGUCUAUUUCAGCAUCCCUCCAAUAAAGGAGGGGUCAAAUAUUACCCAGGGAAAGGUGCAGCAGGCAGGCCAAGCCUCCAAAGCGCAGCUGUCCGGUCUUCCAAGAAAUCCCCUGUCUGCAAAGGAAAAGGACCACUGAUGCUUCCACAGAAGGAAGAAUUCCUCUCAUUGCAGUUCCAGGAGUGUGUGAGGGAAGGAAUGAGAAGGGGGGCAGAAGAAGCACACAGGAUCCAUAUGCUAUAACGUACUUCAGGCUCCAAAUGGGCAUAAUCUGUCCCUUGAUUCCAGUCUCUCAAUACAGCCUCUAAGUCACAAAUUCAAUGGACCAAAUACAACUCAUCUUUGGAGUAGCCACUGGGAUGAAUUUAGAUCUGGCUGUAUCAGAAACAGUAUCAGAAGAAAAGCGGAUGAAAAUUGUACAAAAACUCCUUUGUACCCUGCUUCACAGACUUGUGACCAUGACUGAAUUCAUCUUCUGGGUGUUUCCUCAGAUGAGCAUGCCUUUAAUUUUUCCUUGGGGCUUAAAAAAGUUUUUUAACCCAUUUUUCCAUAUCACCACACACUGUCCUGGAGAUGUCUCUCAGGAAUAUAUAUGGUGAGGUUCCACAUCCCUAGUCCUCACCGGGAAUGGGAUUGCAAAAGAACAUUCCAACUAUUUUAGGUUAUGGAAAAAGUAAUCAAAUAUUUCACUCACCACUAAAAUGUCAUCAUUUUAUGCAUUUCACAAAGAAUUCUCUCGUUACAUUAGAUAGGCCUGGAGAGACUCCAGUCUCUGUGGGUUGCAUGCAUUCCCCUGUUCUGUUCAGAAAAUAAAAGCCUUGGUCUGUUUUUUAAGAAAGCCAAAGUCACUUGGUGCCCUGCUACUGACCCAAAACUUGAUGGCAAUACACCUUAUUUCUCUUACAAACUGAUUUGGCCUUUUCUGAAUUUGUUCCUCACACAGCUGUGUGCACACCAUUCUCCCCACAUACUUUGAUAAAAAUAACAAUUGCACAUGAAGAAAAAAGAAAACCCAGAAUAAUAACGACAACAGCAACCGCUUGAGAAAGACUAAUGAGGGCUGCUGAACAGCAGAGCCAUUCACUGACACUGAAAAAAGAAGACAUCAAGUCUAUGAGGCCAUUAGUAUCCCAAUUUUAAAUUUAACUGAUUUUUUUAAUUAUUAUUUUGGCACAAUGCUGCAACGAUACAGCGGCAUGAUACAAACACUGUAGCAUCUGCAAGAAUUCUCAGCCUUUGAGAAAAAGAGUAUGUUAGCAACACACAGACCUUAUGAAUGCAAGUAAUUCUUGCUGUAGGAGAGAGACAAAGUGUAUCCUUACCUCUUACUCUCUUCCAUAUCACUGUAAUGCCUACACGUUCAGAGAGCCAAAGACACCAGUGGCUGGGCACUAUACGAACACAUAAAAGGAGAGUUCUAAACCUAUAUGCUACAGCUCUAAGACUUCAACAGCUCCAUGAAACCCAGUGGCAUGGCAGAGAUAAAAGUUGAGUAAGAAAUGUCUGUACUGAGAAAUACAUUGUUGUUCAAUCUAUGUUGCUUUAAUGUGAAAUCCUACAUUACAGGAUUUUCUGUAAUAAAAUGCAUC